rnacentral:rRNA from 1 species
GACGAACGCUGGCGGCGUGCCUAAUACAUGCAAGUUGAGCGCUGAAGGUUGGUACUUGUACCAACUGGAUGAGCAGCGAACGGGUGAGUAACGCGUGGGGAAUCUGCCUUUGAGCGUGGGACAACAUUUGGAAACGAAUGCUAAUACCGCAUAAAAACUUUAAACACAAGUUUUAAGUUUGAAAGAUGCAAUUGCAUCACUCAAAGAUGAUCCCGCGUUGUAUUAGCUAGUUGGUGAGGUAAAGGCUCACCAAGGCGAUGAUACAUAGCCGACCUGAGAGGGUGAUCGGCCACAUUGGGACUGAGACACGGCCCAAACGCCUACGGGAGGCAGCAGUAGGGAAUCUUCGGCAAUGGACGAAAGUCUGACCGAGCAACGCCGCGUGAGUGAAGAAGGUUUUCGGAUCGUAAAACUCUGUUGGUAGAGAAGAACGUUGGUGAGAGUGGAAAGCUCAUCAAGUGACGGUAACUACCCAGAAAGGGACGGCUAACUACGUG